GACGAACGCUGGCGGCGUGCCUAAUACAUGCCAGUAGAACGCACAGUUUAUACCGUAGCUUGCUACACCAUAAACUGUGAGUUGCGAACGGGUGAGUAACGCGUAGGUAACCUGCCUGGUAGCGGGGGAUAACUAUUGGAAACGAUAGCUAAUACCGCAUAAUAUUAAUUAUUGCAUGAUAAUUGAUUGAAAGAUGCAAUUGCAUCACUACCAGAUGGACCUGCGUUGUAUUAGCUAGUAGGUGAGGUAACGGCUCACCUAGGCGACGAUACAUAGCCGACCUGAGAGGGUGAUCGGCCACACUGGGACUGAGACACGGCCCAGACUCCUACGGGAGGCAGCAGGAGGGAAUCUUCGGCAAUGGACGAAAGUCUGACCGAGCAACGCCGCGUGAGUGAAGAAGGGUUUCGGAUCGUAAAGCUCGGUUGUAAGAGAAGAACGGGUGUGAGAGUGGAAAGUUCACACUGUGACGGUAUCUUACCAGAAAGGGACGGCUAACUACGUG
rnacentral:rRNA from 1 species